UUCCAGGGUACCAGCCUGUCCUGCCGAACCAGCAGCAGGGGUUCCAGGGUCUCAUGGGAAUGCAGCAGCCACCCCAAAGCCAGAGCCUGAUGAAUAAUCAACAGGGAAAUCAGGUGCAAGGCAUGAUGGUGCAGUAUCCAGCCAUGUCGUCUUAUCAGGUGCCAAUGACCCAGGGUUCUCAAGGAUUGCCGCAACAAUCAUAUCAACAACCAAUCAUGCUACCUAAUCAAUCAGGUCAAGGAACACUUACAGCCACUGGAAUGCCUGUCUACUGUAAUGUCAUACCUCCUGCCCCACAGAACAACCUACGGUUGAUUGCCCCACACUGCCCCUCCAAUAACGUUCCAGUUAUUUCUGCCAGCUGCAGGACAAACUGUGCGAGCAUUAACAAUGCAGGGUGGCAGGUCAAGUACUGACACUGUGGCUUAGUGGAUAUACGAGGAUAGCGGUGCAUUAUUUGACAAAUAACACAUGGCCUUCAAAUGGAGAGGAACACAACAGGAUAAUCAGUUGAGGACAUAAGUACUGACUAUGCUCAAGUGAUUUGCUGCUGGAAAAAUCUGUAAAAAAAAAAUAAAAUAAAAAUAAAAUAAAUUUUGAAAAAAAAAAAAUGUUUGCUGGUUAAUGGUGCAUAUUUUUGUCAUGUCUGCUAGGUAUGCCUUUAUAGCUUAGCUAGUGACAUGAAUUCAUUGAGGUAAGAUUUUUUCCUACCACUGAACACCACUGUGUAGAUUGUAAUAUCCCCGAUUCGGAUUAGUUUUGUACUUUGUGUUGAGUUUGUGAAGCUAAAAGUAUUUAAAAAUAUAAUAAAAUCACAUUGUACCAAAGCUGUAAUGGAAAUGAAAAAAAAAAAAAAAAGAAAACAAAAAAGGAAUUACUGAAUGGAAGGAAUAAUUUAUAUACACUAUAGAGUUUUUUUAUGGAUAUAUACUGUAUUGUAGUGCUUAAUCACAAUAAAGCUAUUUGACCUCAUGGAGAAAGGUCAUGUUUCUA